CCCUUCGAUGUUCGGAGCUGCACGCGCGCUACACUGACCAGUGCAACAAGCAUCCGUCCUUGGCCGACAGGCCCGGGCAAUCUUUGAACGCUGGUCGUGAUGGGGAUAGACUUUUGCAAUUUUUGGUCUUCAACGAGGAAUUCCUAGUAAACGCAAGUCAUCAACUUGCAUUGAUUACGUCCCUGCCCUUUGUACACACCGCCCGUCGCACCUACCGAUUGAAUGGUCCGGUGAAGCCUCCGGAUUGGCGCGCACCUCGGUGCCGCCGAGAAGUUGGCUAAACCUUACCAUUUAGAGGAAGGUGAAGUCGUAACA
rnacentral:rRNA from 1 species